UAAACUCUGAAAAGGAUUGAGUUCCCGAAGGAGAAAUCAAAUUCAUAGUGUCUCAAGGAAUCAAAUGGCUUGAGUUUCAAGGACAAGUAACGUGCAUGGGAGUGACCAUUCUGCUGGCUCAGAGCAUCCCUCAAGUUCCACCCAUCUGGAAAAAGCCAGAUCACUUCAAGGGACCCGCUCUCUUUGCCAGUCUCCCAGCUUUCAAAGGCCUCUGUCCAGCAGUGGAUCAAGC